rnacentral:rRNA from 1 species
GAUGAACGCUGGCGGCGUGCUUAACACAUGCAAGUCGAACGGAAAGGCCCAAGCUUGCUUGGGUACUCGAGUGGCGAACGGGUGAGUAACACGUGGGUGAUCUGCCCUGCACUUCGGGAUAAGCCUGGGAAACUGGGUCUAAUACCGGAUAGGACCACAUUUUGGAUGGUGUGGUGGAAAGUUUUUCGGUGUGGGAUGAGCUCGCGGCCUAUCAGCUUGUUGGUGGGGUAAUGGCCUACCAAGGCGUCGACGGGUAGCCGGCCUGAGAGGGUGUACGGCCACAUUGGGACUGAGAUACGGCGCAGACUCCUACGGGAGGCAGCAGUGGGGAAUAUUGCACAAUGGGCGCAAGCCUGAUGCAGCGACGCCGCGUGGGGGAUGACGGCCUUCGGGUUGUAAACUCCUUUCGCUAGGGACGAAGCGCAAGUGACGGUACCUGGAGAAGAAGCACCGGCUAACUACGUG